rnacentral:tRNA from 1 species
GAGGGUAUAGCUUAGUGGUAGAGUGUGUGCUUAGCAUGCACGAGGCCCUGGGUUCAAUCCCCAGUACCUCCA